GAUCCUGGCUCAGAUUGAACGCUGGCGGCAGGCCUAACACAUGCAAGUCGAACGGUAACAGGAAACAGCUUGCUGUUUCGCUGACGAGUGGCGGACGGGUGAGUAAUGUCUGGGAAACUGCCUGAUGGAGGGGGGAUAACUACUGGAAACGGUAGCUAAUAAAGCAUAACGUCGCAAGACCAAAGAGGGGGACCUUCGGCCGUCUUGCCACUCGGAUGUGCCCACGAUGGGAGUUAGCUAGUAGGUGGGGUAACGGG
rnacentral:rRNA from 1 species